CAGUAGCCACGGGAAAACCAGCACCUCGAGUGGUCAGGAGGUUUAUUGGGCCUAAAGCAUCCGUAGCCGGUUGCAUAAGUUUUCGGUUAAAUCUAUGCGCUUAACGUAUAGGCCGCCGAAAAUACUGUGCAGCUAGGGAGUGGGAGAGGUACACGGUACUCGAUAGGAAGGGGUAAAAUCCUUUGAUCUAUUGAUGACCACCUGUGGCGAAGGCGGCCAUCUGGGACAACACUGACGCUGAGGCACGAAAGCGUGGGGAGCAAACAGGAUUAGAUACCCCUGUAGUCCCUGUCUCUUAUAC
rnacentral:rRNA from 1 species